AAACUCUAUUAAAUUAGGUGUCAAUACUUCUUCUUCUACUACCUAUUUAACAGUGUCUCGACACCCGCGCAACCCGAUAUCUCACUCAUUUCCACUUCUGCUCCGAGGCAUAGCAGCCGGGAGCGUAUUUAAGGAGACUAUCGACCAAGAAUAAUCAGUCUUGAGGCGAUCAGCUCUAGACUCCCUGGCCAGCCAGUGUAGUGUACAGGCAGGCCAACCUGGGUGGUGGAACUCCGUAUUGAAGAGAUCCGCCGAUCGUAAUUGAACGGGAUCCGUGUAGCUGUGGAGUGAACAGUAGGGUGGUGCGAAAAAAGUCAAGUUGAUAAUCCAGUAUCGCUAUAGUGCGGAAAAGUUGCGAUUGGUAAUUACAAGAAAAACAAAACCAAUAUUAUUCAAAUCGGACUUUAUCUUCCGAUCCCGCAAGGUCAAUCAAAAUCUAUAAAAAUUUGAAAUUGUUGAUGAUUUUGAUAAAAUAAAAAACAUUUAGUUAUCUCAUUUUUCUGUUGCAUUGUGAAGCUCUUCGCUUGUUUAGAUAUUGUAUAAUAAUAUUUAAACGACCUAGAACUCACAACGAGAAAGUGGUUGCACUUUCUACUCCACCCACACCCUUCUCUCCAUACAACCAAUGAGUGUGUGUUUUUUACAUUAUUUACAUAGUACAUUUCUUUUUCAUUUGUUUGUGUCCCGCUUUUAAACGUCAACUUUGAAUUUUGAUUUGGUGGUAAAAUCUGGCAGCAUGGACCUUGAUUUAAGGGUUGCCUUGAUGAAUCCAUCUCUUGAUUGGGUCCCACAUACAUUAGACGAUACUUCCGUGACCAACUCUACUUACCGCUAGACAGCUUGUGUAUGGCAGGGAUGGUUUUGUACAUUACAGUCUGGUGUGUUGCCUGAUAUAAUGUAGCAACUUAGAUCUUCAUUUGAAACGCUUUGAAGAACUGGUGGAGAAGAUAGUUUUGUACCAUUCCAAUCUAAUAUUUCAGUGUGGUCCUGUGCUUCAAAAUUUAAAGUAGGAGGGAUGAAAUUUCUAAUACGUUUGUCCUUGGCUUUAAUCUAUCCGGCUUUUAACACUCUCCUUAGCCCUAGCUCUCUAAUGUGUUUCCUUUCUCCCUAGUACUUGAAAUUUUGAAGCACGGUACUAAACUGAAAUAAUAGACUGGAAUAUAACGUUGCAAAACUAUUGCAGACUGUUGCAAAACUAUCUUCUCCACCACUUCUUCGAAGUGUCAAAUGAAGAUAUAAGUUCUUGCAUUACAUCGGGCGACAUACCAGACUGGAAUGUACAAAACUAUCCCUGACACACGCAAGCUGAUGAGAGGUGCCUAAAGUUGGUCACGGAAGCAUCGUCUAAUGCAGGGGAGGCAAACCCGUCGAUCGCGACCCCUAGGUCAGUCGAUCGAUGGCAAGAAAAAAUUAUCUACCUACCUACCCAUUCCCGUCCUAAAUAUUACGAAAAUUCCUAGUCGAUAGAUCGCAGAGAAUUAGAAAGACAGACAGUAGAUCUCGUGUCCGAUUAAGUUGGUCACCCCUGGUCUAAUGUAUGUGGGCCCCAAUCAAGAGAUGGAUUCAUAAGGGUAACACUUAAAUCAAGGUCCAUGCUGCCAGAUUCUACCACCAAAUCACAAUACAAAGUUGACGUUCAAAAGCUGGAUACAAACAUGAAAAGAAAAUUUACUAUGUAAAUAAUGUAAAAAUCACACUUAUUGGUUGGUUGGAGAGAAGGGUGUGUGUGGAGCUAGAAGUGCAACCACCUCCUCGUUGUGAGUUCUGGGUUGUUUAAGUAUUGUCAUACAAUAUAUAAACAAGCGAAAAACUUCACAAUGUAGGAGAAAAAUGAGAUAACUAAAUGUUUUUUAAUUUAUCAAAAUCAUCGAAAAUUUCAAUUUUUUAUAGAUUUUGAUUGACCUUGCGGGAUCGGAAGAUAUUCGUUAGAUGCGUAAAACUGUUGUUUUUAUUACUCAACCAUGCAAACUGUAAAUAAAUUUUACUAUAGCGAUAAAUAAAACGUACAUGGAGGAUUAAUAAAAAUUUCCGAAAAAAAGACAUCCAUCAAGGGAGUUUUCUCCGUAACGGGGCGAAGAUAGAAUAUUUUAUUUUAUUUUUAAUUUUGAACUGUAUAUCAAUAUCCUGAAUAUAUUUACUUUAUUUUUAA